AAAUUGAAGAGUUUGAUCAUGGCUCAGAUUGAACGCUGGCGGCAGGCCUAACACAUGCAAGUCGAGCGGAAAACGAGUUGUCUGAACCUUCGGGGGACGAUAACGGCGUCGAGCGGCGGACGGGUGAGUAAUGCCUAGGAAAUUGCCCUGAUGUGGGGGAUAACCAUUGGAAACGAUGGCUAAUACCGCAUGAUGCCUACGGGCCAAAGAGGGGGACCUUCGGGCCUCUCGCGUCAGGAUAUGCCUAGGUGGGAUUAGCUAGUUGGUGAGGUAAGGGCUCACCAAGGCGACGAUCCCUAGCUGGUCUGAGAGGAUGAUCAGCCACACUGGAACUGAGACACGGUCCAGACUCCUACGGGAGGCAGCAGUGGGGAAUAUUGCACAAUGGGCGCAAGCCUGAUGCAGCCAUGCCGCGUGUGUGAAGAAGGCCUUCGGGUUGUAAAGCACUUUCAGUCGUGAGGAAGGUAGUGUAGUUAAUAGCUGCAUUAUUUGACGUUAGCGACAGAAGAAGCACCGGCUAACUCCGUGCCAGCAGCCGCGGUAAUACGGAGGGUGCGAGCGUUAAUCGGAAUUACUGGGCGUAAAGCGCAUGCAGGUGGUUUGUUAAGUCAGAUGUGAAAGCCCGGGGCUCAACCUCGGAAUUGCAUUUGAAACUGGCAGACUAGAGUACUGUAGAGGGGGGUAGAAUUUCAGGUGUAGCGGUGAAAUGCGUAGAGAUCUGAAGGAAUACCGGUGGCGAAGGCGGCCCCCUGGACAGAUACUGACACUCAGAUGCGAAAGCGUGGGGAGCAAACAGGAUUAGAUACCCUGGUAGUCCACGCCGUAAACGAUGUCUACUUGGAGGUUGUGGCCUUGAGCCGUGGCUUUCGGAGCUAACGCGUUAAGUAGACCGCCUGGGGAGUACGGUCGCAAGAUUAAAACUCAAAUGAAUUGACGGGGGCCCGCACAAGCGGUGGAGCAUGUGGUUUAAUUCGAUGCAACGCGAAGAACCUUACCUACUCUUGACAUCCAGAGAACUUUCCAGAGAUGGAUUGGUGCCUUCGGGAACUCUGAGACAGGUGCUGCAUGGCUGUCGUCAGCUCGUGUUGUGAAAUGUUGGGUUAAGUCCCGCAACGAGCGCAACCCUUAUCCUUGUUUGCCAGCGAGUAAUGUCGGGAACUCCAGGGAGACUGCCGGUGAUAAACCGGAGGAAGGUGGGGACGACGUCAAGUCAUCAUGGCCCUUACGAGUAGGGCUACACACGUGCUACAAUGGCGCAUACAGAGGGCGGCCAACUUGCGAAAGUGAGCGAAUCCCAAAAAGUGCGUCGUAGUCCGGAUUGGAGUCUGCAACUCGACUCCAUGAAGUCGGAAUCGCUAGUAAUCGUGGAUCAGAAUGCCACGGUGAAUACGUUCCCGGGCCUUGUACACACCGCCCGUCACACCAUGGGAGUGGGCUGCAAAAGAAGUAGGUAGUUUAACCUUCGGGGGGACGCUUACCACUUUGUGGUUCAUGACUGGGGUGAAGUCGUAACAAGGUAGCGCUAGGGGAACCUGGCGCUGGAUCACCUCCUUAUACGAUGAU
rnacentral:rRNA from 1 species